GUCGAUUUACUCCAGUUCAGUGUAGUGUAAUUACUAAGCAAGUUAUAAAGGAAAGUACGAGAGAUACGGUUUUUUACACCGAAUCUUACAGGAAUCUCCACCAGAAGAAUCCCAUGGUGUGAGAUCGGGUGAAAGGGGUGGCCAAGAAAUCGCUUCGUUUCGGGAUAUCACACGAUUCAAGAAAAUCUCAUAAAAAAUAUUCAAGAUGUCACGAGCUGCGUGGAUUGAGGCUCCGUUUUGUUGGAAUAAGUGCUACAAUUAUUUCAAAACAAUUUGGAAGUAUGUUGAAACCAACAUAAUGUUUGCUAGGAUGGUAUAAAAGUUUACUAUAUCUCAAGAGAGAAAACUAC